rnacentral:rRNA from 1 species
AGCAUGUGGUUUAAUUCGAUGCAACGCGAAGAACCUUACCUGGUCUUGACAUCCACGGAAGUUUUCAGAGAUGAGAAUGUGCCUUCGGGAACCGUGAGACAGGUGCUGCAUGGCUGUCGUCAGCUCGUGUUGUGAAAUGUUGGGUUAAGUCCCGCAACGAGCGCAACCCUUAUCCUUUGUUGCCAGCGGUCCGGCCGGGAACUCAAAGGAGACUGCCAGUGAUAAACUGGAGGAAGGUGGGGAUGACGUCAAGUCAUCAUGGCCCUUACGACCAGGGCUACACACGUGCUACAAUGGCGCAUACAAAGAGAAGCGACCUCGCGAGAGCAAGCGGACCUCAUAAAGUGCGUCGUAGUCCGGAUUGGAGUCUGCAACUCGACUCCAUGAAGUCGGAAUCGCUAGUAAUCGUGGAUCAGAAUGCCACGGUGAAUACGUUCCCGGGCCUUGUACACACCGCCCGUCACACCAUGGGAGUGGGUUGCAAAAGAAGUAGGUAGCUUAACCUUCGGGAGGGCGCUUACCACUUUGUGAUUCAUGACUGGGGUGAAGUCGUAACAAGGUAACCGUAGGGGAACCUGCGGUUGGAUCACCUCCUUACCUUAAAGAAGC